UACGUAGGGGGCAAGCGUUGUCCGGAAUCAUUGGGCGUAAAGAGCGUGUAGGCGGCCUGGUAAGUCCGCUGUGAAAGUCCAGGGCUCAACCCUGGAAUGCCGGUGGAAACUGUCAGGCUCGAGUCCGGAAGAGGCGAGUGGAAUUCCUGGUGUAGCGGUGAAAUGCGCAGAUAUCAGGAGGAACACCAAUGGCGAAGGCAGCUCGCUGGGACGGUACUGACGCUGAGGCGCGAAAGCCAGGGGAGCGAACGGG
rnacentral:rRNA from 1 species